AAACUGAUGCAGGAAAGCCUACUUUCCAACCAGAUAAGAUUUUUUUCCCUUGUAAACAAUCAUGGGACCCUAAAAUUAUCUAUUUAUUUUCAUAUACAUGUUAAAGGGUGCCUCAAUUUUAUAACCAUGGGGCCAUCAGAUCAGAUACAACAACAUUAUAGUACUGUGACUGCUACUGUCCCAUGUUCGCUUUAGGAUGCAUUACUUUUUCAUUUUUCUACACCUUCCACAUUUAAUGCUCAGCCUAAGGAGGGAGAAGCACAAAUGCACAAGCCCCAGUCUCUCAUUCAACCCGGGGCUUGUUCAUAAACUGAAAAGGGUUAAGUACCAAAACUAAUUGCACAAGAAAAGUUUAAAAAGAAACAGUAGAAUUCUUGCUAUUUAUUGCCUCCCUUCGUCUCCACUUAGCACCAAUCUCCUCUCUCUCUCUC
rnacentral:lncRNA from 1 species